rnacentral:rRNA from 1 species
UGAGCAACCUGCCCCUUGCUUUGGGAUAACCCUCGGAAACGGGGGCUAAUACCGAAUGUUCACUGCUGGACGCAUGUUUGGUGGUGGAAAGUUUUUCGGCUGGGGAUGGGCUCGCGGCCUAUCAGCUUGUUGGUGGGGUGAUGGCCUACCAAGGCGACGACGGGUAGCCGGCCUGAGAGGGCGAUCGGCCACACUGGGACUGAGACACGGACCCAGACCUCCUACGGGAGGCA